rnacentral:lncRNA from 1 species
CUGACCACUCUUUGAAAGUUCUGAAGGAGUCAGAGGAGUGAAGAUGUCAAGCUUCAAAGGAACCAGAAAUGUAUCAUAAAAUUAGUUCAUAUGAUCAUUGCAAUCAAUGUCACAUUGUUUACAUUAAUUAAGUUAAUAUUUAAUAUUCUGCAAGGAACUUAUCAAAUAGCAAUUUAACUUAAUUAGGGGCCAAACACCGAAUGUGCGUAGGCACCUAUUGUAUCAAUUCUGGUUCUUAUUAUUCUUCCUCUUUUUCUUCUUCCGCCAUUUUGAUUUUGCUCAAACCAUUUUUUUAAACUCCUCCUAAACCACUGGCCAUUUUUCAUUUAGCACAUGCGCAAACUUGAUGUAAUGCUACUAGGUGACAUUACAGGCUGAAUCACUGCAAUGGUUUGAAAUACUGACAGAGAUGGCAAAAUGUGUGAUCUAGAACUGACAUUGACCAAACUACAUCAGUUUGCACCACCUUCAGGGUAAUAUUGGCAAACAAUUAAAUUCUAUCGAUAGAAACCAUAAAAAAAUCAUCAAAUCACUUUUGAAUAGUUUUGUCUAUUGUCAUGAGACUGGUCUUGCAGAUUCCUUGGAUCAUACAGAGAACAUUGAUAUAAUUUAUUCCCUAAUUGACAAGACUUCCUGUCCACCAUCUUGAAUUAUUUUGAAAAUAUGUUGCUUUGAACUCACCAUAGAUCAGAUCAUUAGCCCAAUUUCCAUUAAAUAUGGCUCAAAACAUGUUGCCAAAACAUGAUAGAAUUUUCCAGUUGCUCUGUAGCUUGUUGCCGUGCUUGUUUAUGAUGUGGCCGCUGGGCUGCUUGUCCCCGAUAAUUGCUGCUUGCAGCUACAAUUUCUGACUGCACCUGAAUAAUGAUGGCAGUGUUGUGUUGCUCUGCAUUUGCCUAAUUUUUAAUGUUUAGAUUAUUAAUUACAUUGUUUACUUGUUUAAUAUGUUAGACCUGUAGAUUUAUCAUGCACAGUGGUCGUGUAUGAAUCUGCUUUAUUCUUUAGUCUUUUUGACUAUUAUUACAAUUUAUGUGUUACAAACAUUGAUUUAGAAGAGCUGAAUUAAAAAAU